rnacentral:rRNA from 1 species
UACGUAGGUGACGAGCGUUAUCCGGAUUUACUGGGUUUAAAGGGUGCGUAGGUGGAUUUGUAAGUCAGUGGUGAAAUCUCCGGGCUUAACCCGGAAACUGCCAUUGAUACUAUAAGUCUUGAAUUAUCUGGAGGUAAGCGGAAUAUGUCAUGUAGCGGUGAAAUGCUUAGAUAUGACAUAGAACACCAAUUGCGAAGGCAGCUUACUACGGAUAUAUUGACACUGAGGCACGAAAGCGUGGGGAUCAAACAGG